GAUAAGAACGUAGUGAAAUGCGAUACUUGGUGUGAAUUGCAGAAUCCCGUGAACCAUCGAGUCUUUGAACGCAAGUUGCGCCCGAAGCCACUAGGCCGAGGGCACGCCUGCCUGGGCGUCACACGUCGUUGCCCCCCCCCCAUCUACUCCUUCGGGAUUGCGGGGGGCGGAUGAUGGCCUCCCGUGCGCCUAGCCGCGCGGUUGGCAUAAAUACCAAGUCCUCGGCGACGCACGCCACGACAAUCGGUGGUUGCGAAACCUCGGUUGCCCGUCGUGUGCGUUCGUCGCGCAUCGAGGGCUCGAAAAAAUGCUCGGCUCCGGCUCGGCUUUCAACGCGACCCCAGGUCAGGCGGGGUUACCCGCUGAAUUUAAGCAUAUCAAUAAGCGGAGGA
rnacentral:misc_RNA from 1 species